CACUUUCUACCAAUAUAGCCAGAAUAGCAAGAAGAUAAUACAAUUACCAUAAAGUCCGCAUUAACAUAAGUGGUUCUGGUUGCAUCCCCCCUCAAGGGCUGUAUUUUUUACCUGACCAGACUUUCGGGUUUCUGACAAAGGUUUUCUUAUAGGUUGAAAAAAGAAGAAAAAGUAGAACAAGAAAAGGUAACAUAAAAGACAAAUCUACUAGCAGGCAGCCCUUACGAUUUGCUUAUGAGGAUAGAAAUGAGGAGUUAGAUGAUGAAGAGGUUGAGCAAUAUUUUCAAACACACAUACGCACACACUUUCUGGCAAGCAAGGGUCAGAACCCCUGCUAGCUUUUUAUGUCGGCACAAACACACAUGCAUACACAAAUUUUCUGGCAAGCAAGGGUCAAAACCAAGUUAGCUUUUCACGUCAGUGCAAACACAUGCGCUUGGUUUUGAAAGCCCCAAGGGGCUAUGCGGCCAAUUGAAAGUCCCAAUUACAACAGGUGUCUCUUACCUUAUUUCGGACGGUGCAGAAUCCACUGAACUGCACAGUUGCACCCAACAGAGAAUCAAUCAGGCUUCCACAUAACCCCGCCAUUGCAGCAAGGGGUAUUACCAAUAACUGCUUUAGAGCUACAUCAGUAGUGCAAGUUGCCGUCAGCAAUCCGAAGAUAACAAACGUCAGCCCAAUGACUCCACCUGCAGCUGCAGCUGCUAGGAGUCCUGUUGUCGUCACUCCACCAUUUGUACCCUUCCGAACUGGCUGAUCAGCAAUAUUAAGAAAGCAUAAUUAGACUCCUAGAAUAAAAUGAAUAAGUAAUGAGUAAAUUGCCCUUGUCUCAAUAGUUACGAGAUAAGCAAUUGAAAACUCAUUAAUGUAGAUAGCCACAUCUGUAGCCCAGUCUUUUGCUUCUACUUCUAAAAGAAAAAAAGAA